rnacentral:rRNA from 1 species
UACGAAGGGUGCAAACGUUGCUCGGAAUUAUUGGGCGUAAAGCGCACGUAGGCGGCUUAGCAAGUCGGAAGUGAAAUCCCUCGGCUCAACCAAGGAAGUGCUUUCGAAACUGCUGAGCUUGAGUACGAAAGAGGAUCGCGGAAUUCCCGGUGUAGAGGUGAAAUUCGUAGAUAUCGGGAGGAACACCAGUGGCGAAGGCGGCCUUCUGGACCAGUACUGACGCUCAUGCACGAAAGCGUGGGGAGCAAACAGG